rnacentral:ncRNA from 1 species
ACGAUACUCUGGAGAGACCCGUUAGAUCGGGCGCCGAAGGAGCAAGGCACCAUGACGACCCGCAAGGGCGGCUGGCGCCGGAAACUCUCAGGCAAAAGGACAGAGGGGA